rnacentral:rRNA from 1 species
AUUGAACGCUGGCGGCAUGCCUUACACAUGCAAGUCGAACGGCAGCACGGGUGCUUGCACCUGGUGGCGAGUGGCGAACGGGUGAGUAAUACAUAGGAACAUGUCCUGUAGUGGGGGAUAGCCCGGCGAAAGCCGGAUUAAUACCGCAUACGAUCUACGGAUGAAAGCGGGGGACCUUCGGGCCUCGCGCUAUAGGGGUGGCCGAUGGCUGAUUAGCUAGUUGGUGGGGUAAAGGCCUACCAAGGCGACGAUCAGUAGCUGGUCUGAGAGGACGACCAGCCACACUGGGACUGAGACACGGCCCAGACUCCUACGGGAGGCAGCAGUGGGGAAUUUUGGACAAUGGGCGAAAGCCUGAUCCAGCACUGCCGCGUGUGUGAAGAAGGCCUUCGGGUUGUAAAGCACUUUUGUCCGGAAAGAAAUCCUUGGCCCUAAUACGGUCGGGGGAUGACGGUACCGGAAGAAUAAGCACCGGCUAACUACGUG